rnacentral:rRNA from 1 species
ACGCGUGGAACCUUACCAGGUCUUGACAUCCCAUUGACCGCUAUGGAGACAUAGCUUUCCCUUCGGGGACAGUGGUGACAGGUGGUGCAUGGUUGUCGUCAGCUCGUGUCGUGAGAUGUUGGGUUAAGUCCCGCAACGAGCGCAACCCUUGAUCUUAGUUGCCAGCAUUAAGUUGGGCACUCUAAGGUGACUGCCGGUGACAAACCGGAGGAAGGUGGGGAUGACGUCAAAUCAUCAUGCCCCUUAUGACCUGGGCUACACACGUGCUACAAUGGAUGGUACAAAGGGCAGCAAAACCGCGAGGUCGAGCAAAUCCCAUAAAACCAUUCUCAGUUCGGAUUGUAGGCUGCAACUCGCCUACAUGAAGCUGGAAUCGCUAGUAAUCGCGGAUCAGCAUGCCGCGGUGAAUACGUUCCCGGGCCUUGCACACACCGCCCGU